GAUGAACGCUGGCGGCGUGCUUAACACAUGCAAGUCGAACGAUGAAGCCCAGCUUGCUGGGUGGAUUAGUGGCGAACGGGUGAGUAACACGUGAGUAACCUGCCCUUAACUCUGGGAUAAGCCUGGGAAACUGGGUCUAAUACCGGAUAGGAGCGUCCACCGCAUGGUGGGUGUUGGAAAGAUUUAUCGGUUUUGGAUGGACUCGCGGCCUAUCAGCUUGUUCGUGAGGUAAUGGCUCACCAAGGCGACGACGGGUAGCCGGCCUGAGAGGGUGACCGGCCACACUGGGACUGAGACACGGCCCAGACUCCUACGGGAGGCAGCAGUGGGGAAUAUUGCACAAUGGGCGCAAGCCUGAUGCAGCGACGCCGCGUGAGGGAUGACGGCCUUCGGGUUGUAAACCUCUUUCAGUAGGGAAGAAGCGAAAGUGACGGUACCUGCAGAAGAAGCACCGGCUAACUACGUG
rnacentral:rRNA from 1 species